AAACGGGUCAAGGUAACGGAUUCACCAAGAGUUCGAUAAUAUAUAAAAGCGAUGGAAAUCGCUAAGUUAACUAAACUAGUAGAAAUAACAAAAUUACGUUAUUUCAAAUUACAUUAUGUCGUAUGAGGUACGUAGAGGUUCUGUAACCAAAAAGAUAUUACCAAAAUUUUUCUGGUAAUACUAACAAUUGGUUAAAAUAUGAAUAAUGCUUGAAAGAUUACUCAGGUCAAACGCAUUGAGUUUAGAACUCAAUGAACUAUGUAAGCAAGGUUUCGAGGACGAAACCUCUUUAAGGGGGGUAGACUUGUAACACCCCGAAAACGGGCUUGGUAAUUAAACUCUGUUAAUACUAAAAGACGGGUAACGUACCGUUAUUAGUAAAAAUAACCCGGCAAAUAUUUGGAUUUAAAUAAGAAAUCCUAAUAUUAAAUAAAAACGAAUCAAAGUUUUAAGUAAUUAAGUUUAUAAAAGGCCCGAUUUAACGGGACUUAAAGUAAAAGGGGUUACGGCUUCCCGAACCUACUAAGCUAACUAGGAAUAAUUCUAACCUAGUUAGAUAGUGACUUAUGAGUGGGUUAAAACACUUAAAUUAUGAACUAAGGAAAAUUAAGGGGCCAAAGAUGUUAAAAUCGAAACUUAUGUUGCUAAUUUAAUUAAAACAAAAACCAAACACCCCAUUUGGGGAUGUCUGGUCGUACAAAGAAGCAGGAGGCGAUGGGUUUCUUCAAACCCUAAAAUCCUUAAUUAAACUCUCAAAUUGGAGGUGCAAAUAUGGUCCAAAACGAAAAUCGAGCAUAGAUUACUGAUCCCCAUUGCAAGGGGGUUGUAAGUUUGACUCUUGACAAGCUAGAUGGAGGCUUGGAAUGAAGCGGGUCAAACGGAGCAAGUACGAAAAGGAAAGCGUAAUUUGGAUGCGAGGUAAGUAAAGCUUACGCCCUCUUUUGUAAGUUAUGUGUUUAUUCAUAGGUUGUAAAUACGACAAAAGCUAUAUUUGAAAUAUGGUUCCGACACGAAAUGAAACGGGUCGGGACAUAUAAAAUAAUGAUAAACCAUGUUUAAUGGUAAAAUGGGCGAAAUGGUAAUUGGUCACGAGAUGACAUAUAUAUAAAAUGAGUUUUUGAAUGGCUACUUAUUAAGGUAAGCCUAAACGAAUAAAAAGAGUAAAACGACGAAUUAGUCAUGUGUAGACGAAAAAGAGUUGAAGUUUAAAACAACACCAUUUAAUAUUAAGCACAAAAUAUUUGGUAGUCUAGACCAAACGGGUCAAAUGGUAAUAUUUAUACCAUUUGAUAAUUAACGACUAAUAAGUGUAUGUCGAGUCUCAUGCUCGCAGGGUAAUUGGUUUAUGAAUUAGCGAGGCUAUGAAUUAGCAUAUUAUAGAGACAAGGUCUUAAAACGGGUCAAUAUGUUGACCCGAGCCAGGUACGCUUAUAUAUAUAGAUGUAUAGUUAAAAGUGUUUAACUUCCCUUCACGGGUCAAAAGGAGUAGAUAGGUAAAACGGGUUAAGAAUUCAUAAGAAACACGUAAUUUGAACCUUGCACAUUAGUAAAUUGAUAUAACGUGAUAUGCAUGAUAUUUUGAAUAUGAUUGAUUGAUCUUUGAUAUUGGUUAAUAUGUAACAUAUUAGAAUUUCGAGAAACUAAUGUAUUGGUAUGUUAGAAAGAGCGAAAUCCGAGAUUUAGGCUUGAGUAUAAUGAACAAAGCAACCAAAAGAUGGAUUUAUAGGGACUACCGUAAGUUACGGUAGUACCGUAAGUUACGGUAGCGGUCAGGAGCUUACGGUGUGAGUCUACUGGUUUACGAUGGACCAUUAUUGGAAAUUGACCACCGUAACUUACGGUGAAACCGUAAGUUACGGUAGGGCCUGAAUGUUUAUAAAUUUUAUAUAAUUGUAAAUUUUCAAAUUCAUUUCGAUCGUAGUUUCGAUCAAGUAUCAUUUCUAAGCAUUCUAAUAUAAAUGUUUAUGUAAACAUUUCAGUCUUAGGUACUCAAGGAUUAUGGGUGACGAUCAAGCAACUUUUGAAUGACCGAACACAUACUCUUGAAGCUUCCGCAUAAAUCAAGUCGGUUUAAACAAUGUUUAUGAUGUAAACUGUUUGCUAAACAACUUUUGAAAUGUUUAAACGACGUACUCAAUUAUGUUAUGUUGUAUUAUUUUAAAAUUGUAACGUUUAAACAAACCCGUAUUUUUACAAAGUAUAUGUAGUCAUAAUUACAUGUUGUUUGU